AUUGAACGCUGGCGGCAGGCUUAACACAUGCAAGUCGAGCGGGGUGAUGGUGCUUGCACUAUCACUUAGCGGCGGACGGGUGAGUAAUGCUUAGGAGUCUGCCUAUUAGUGGGGGACAACAUCUCGAAAGGGAUGCUAAUACCGCAUACGUCCUACGGGAGAAAGCAGGGGAUCACUUGUGACCUUGCGCUAGUAGAUGAGCCUAAGUCGGAUUAGCUAGUUGGUGGGGUAAAGGCCUACCAAGGCGACGAUCUGUAGCGGGUCUGAGAGGAUGAUCCGCAAGACUGGGACUGAGACACGGCCCAGACUCCUACGGGAGGCAGCAGUGGGGAAUAUUGGACAAUGGGGGGAACCCUGAUCCAGCCAUGCCGCGUGUGUGAAGAAGGCCUUAUGGUUGUAAAGCACUUUAAGCGAGGAGGAGGCUCUUUUGGUUAAUACCCAAGAUGAGUGGACGUUACUCGCAGAAUAAGCACCGGCUAACUCUGUGCCAGCCGCCGCGGUAA
rnacentral:rRNA from 1 species